rfam:Tumebacillus sp. AR23208, complete genome.
UCUAGUGAUAAUGUCGCAGAGGUCACACCUGUUCCCAUCCCGAACACAGAAGUUAAGCUCUGCAGAGCCGAUGGUACUUGGACCGCAGGGUCCUGGGAGAGUAGGACGUCGCUAGGC